UGGAGAGUUUGAUCCUGGCUCAGGACGAACGCUGGCGGCGUGCUUGAUACAUGCAAGUCAAGGAGAACNUUUCCUUCGGGAAANUAUUAAACUGGCGAACGGGUGAGUAACACGUAGGCAACCUACCCUAGAGAUUGGGAUAACUCCGGGAAACCGGNGCUAAUACCGAAUAAUGCAGCGGAUCCUUCGGGAUAUUGUUGUUAAAGCGGGCUUCGGCUCGCACUUUUGGAUGGGCCUGCGCCCGAUUAGCUUGUUGGUAAGGUAANGGCUUACCAAGGCCAUGAUCGGUAGCUGGUCUGAGAGGAUGAUCAGCCACACUGGGAUUGAGAUACGGCCCAGACUUCUACGGAAGGCAGCAGUAAGGAAUUUUGCGCAAUGGACGAAAGUCUGACGCAGCAACGCCGCGUGAUCGAUGAAGCUUCUAGGAGUGUAAAGAUCUGUCGUAAGGGAAGAAAAACCUGGAUGUAAAUAAUGUUCAGAUUUGACGGUACCUUUCAAGAAAGCACCGGCUAACUUCGUGCCAGCAGCCGCGGUAAUACGAGGGGUGCUAGCGUUGUCCGGAAUAACUGGGCGUAAAGGGUUCGUAGGCGUUUUACCAAGUUGAUUGUUAAAUCCACCGGCUUAACCGGUGACCUGCAAUCAAAACUGGUAGAAUAGAAUAUGUGAGAGGAAUGUGGAAUUCCUGGUGUAGCGGUGACAUGCGUAGAUAUCAGGAGGAACACCAAUGGCGAAGGCAGCAUUCUGGCACAAUAUUGACGCUGAGGAACGAAAGCGUGGGGAGCGAACAGGAUUAGAUACCCUGGU
rnacentral:rRNA from 1 species